UCAGCAAUAGGUUAUGAUCAAUGAUAUCAAAAGCCACACUGAAGUCUGGUCAAACAGCUCCCACAAUCUUCUCAUUAUCAAUUUGAAACAACCUCCCUGCUCCUAAGGGGAAGAUGAAAACAUGUUUUUUUUUACUUCAUAUUCAUCCUUUCCAACAUCGCUUCAACAUCAACAUAUGUGAAAAUGGCACAUUUCUAUGGUUUGUAGUAAAAAAGGUUGGACAGCUGCUAGGUGGAUUCACCAAUAUGUCAGUAUGUCCUCGUCUACAGACAUGAGACUGGAGGUUGGACAGCUGCUAGGUGGAUUCACCAAUAUGUCAGUAUGUCCUCGUCUACAGACAUGAGACUGGAGGUUGGACAGCUGCUAGGUGGAUUCACCAAUAUGUCAGUAUGUCCUCGUCUACAGACAUGAGACUGGAGGUUGGACAGCUGCUAGGUGGAUUCACCAAUAUGUCAGUAUGUCCUCGUCUACAGACAUGAGACUGGAGGUUGGACAGCUGCUAGGUGGAUUCACCAAUAAGUCAGUAUGUCCUCGUCUACAGACAUG